AUUGGACAAUGUGGGCAACCCUGAUCCAGCCAUGUCGCGUGUGUGAAGAAGGUCUUCGGAUCGUAAAGCAUUUUAAGUUGGGAGGAAGGGCUUUAGGCUAAUACCCUGCAGUUCUGACGUGACCAACAGAAGAAGCAGCGGCUAACUCCGUGCCACCAGCCGCGGUAAUACAGAGGGUGCAAGCGUUAAUCGGAAUUACUGGGCGUAAAGCGCGCGUAGGUGGUUCAGUAAGAUGGGUGUGAAAUCCCCGGGCUUAACCUGGGAACUGCUUUCAUAACUGCUGAGCUAGAGUACGGUAGAGGGUAGUGGAAUUUCCUGUGUAGCGGUGAAAUGCGUAGAUAUAGGAAGGAACACCAGUGGCGAAGGCGACUACCUGGACUGAUACUGACACUGAGGUGCGAAAGCGUGGGGAGCAAA
rnacentral:rRNA from 1 species